rnacentral:rRNA from 1 species
AAUCCAUAGGUUAAUGAGGCGAACCGGGGGAACUGAAACAUCUAAGUACCCCGAGGAAAAGAAAUCAACCGAGAUUCCCCCAGUAGCGGCGAGCGAACGGGGAGGAGCCCAGAGCCUGAAUCAGCAUGUGUGUUAGUGGAAGCGUCUGGAAAGGCGCGCGAUACAGGGUGACAGCCCCGUACACAAAAGCGCAUGUGCUGUGAGCUCGAUGAGUAGGGCGGGACACGUGGUAUCCUGUCUGAAUAUGGGGGGACCAUCCUCCAAGGCUAAAUACUCCUGACUGACCGAUAGUGAACCAGUACCGUGAGGGAAAGGCGAAAAGAACCCCGGCGAGGGGAGUGAAAAAGAACCUGAAACCGUGUACGUACAAGCAGUGGGAGCCCCACCACUAAGCCAGUGGUGAACUCCACAUACGCAUCCUUUGCUGAGGAUGCGGUUAACGGAGCGAAAGCGACGUUCAACCGCAAAAGAAGCAGAGGGGGCUUAGUGGUGGGGUGACUGCGUACCUUUUGUAUAAUGGGUCAGCGACUUAUAUUCUGUAGCAAGGUUAACCGAAUAGGGGAGCCGGAGGGAAACCGAGUCUUAACCGGGCGUUAAGUUGCAGGGUAUAGACCCGAAACCCGGUGAUCUAGCCAUGGGCAGGUUGAAGGUUGGGUAACACUAACUGGAGGACCGAACCGACUAAUGUUGAAAAAUUAGCGGAUGACCUGUGGCUGGGGGUGAAAGGCCAAUCAAACCGGGAGAUAGCUGGUUCUCCCCGAAAGCUAUUUAGGUAGCGCCUCGUGAAUUCAUCUCCGGGGGUAGAGCACUGUUUCGGCUAGGGGGCCAUCCCGGCUUACCAACCCGAUGCAAACUGCGAAUACCGGAGAAUGUUAUCACGGGAGACACACGGCGGGUGCUAACGUCCGUCGUGAAGAGGGAAACAACCCAGACCGCCAGCUAAGGUCCCAAAGUCAUGGUUAAGUGGGAAACGAUGUGGGAAGGCCCAGACAGCCAGGAUGUUGGCUUAGAAGCAGCCAUCAUUUAAAGAAAGCGUAAUAGCUCACUGGUCGAGUCGGCCUGCGCGGAAGAUGUAACGGGGCUAAACCAUGCACCGAAGCUGCGGCAGCGAACGUAUCACUUAAAGCGAUUCAGCGGAUGACGAUUGACGGAGCGAAGCGACGUCAAAGCGUAUACAAAGUCGAGUCGGUUUAAGGAUACGUUCGUUGGGUAGGGGAGCGUUCUGUAAGCCUGCGAAGGUGGCCUGUGAGGGUUGCUGGAGGUAUCAGAAGUGCGAAUGCUGACAUAAGUAACGAUAAAGCGGGUGAAAAGCCCGCUCGCCGGAAGACCAAGGGUUCCUGUCCAACGUUAAUCGGGGCAGGGUGAGUCGACCCCUAAGGCGAGGCCGAAAGGCGUAGUCGAUGGGAAACGGGUUAAUAUUCCCGUACUUGGUGUUACUGCGAAGGGGGGACGGAGAAGGCUAUGUUGGCCGGGCGA